CUUCAAAGUCAGUACCCUUGAUCCCUACAGAAUUGUGGACUGGGCACAAGCCUAGUCUGCGGCAUAUUCGAGUUUGGGGUUGUCCGGCACAUGUGCUAAAGGGGAAAACUUGACCCCUACAGAAUUGUGGACUGGGCGCAAGCCUAGUCUGCGGCAUAUUCGAGUUUGGGGUUGUCCAGCACGUGCUAAACGGAUAAAUUGGAGGAAAGAACGGAUAUAUGCGUGUUUAUAGGUUAUCCAAAAGGGACGAAAGGUGGGUUAUUCUAUUGUCCUAAAGAGAAAAAGGUAAUCGUUAGCAAAAAUG
rnacentral:lncRNA from 1 species